ACGGGCGUAGUUCAAUAGGUAGAACACCGGUCUCCAAAACCGGAAGUAGUAAGUUCGAAUCUUACCGCCCGUG
rnacentral:tRNA from 1 species